AGUGGCGGACGGGUGAGUAACGCGUGAGAAUCUGCCUUGGGGUCGGGGACAACCACUGGAAACGGUGGCUAAUACCGGAUACGCCUUCGGGUAAAAGAUUUAUUGCCCUAAGAGGAGCUCGCGUCUGAUUAGCUAGUUGGUGAGGUAAGAGCUCACCAAGGCAGCGAUCAGUAGCUGGUCUGAGAGGACGAUCAGCCACACUGGGACUGAGACACGGCCCAGACUCCUACGGGAGGCAGCAGUGGGGAAUUUUCCGCAAUGGGCGAAAGCCUGACGGAGCAAGACCGCGUGAGGGCAAGGCUCUUGGGUUGUAAACCUCUUUUCUCAGGGAAGAAGCUCUGACGGUACCUGAGGAAUCAGCCUCGGCUAACUCCGUGCCAGCAGCCGCGGUAAUACGGAGGAGGCAAGCGUUAUCCGGAAUUAUUGGGCGUAAAGCGUCCGCAGGUUGCGAUUCAAGUCUGCUGUCAAAGCACGGGGCUUAACUCCGUAAAGGCAGUGGAAACUGAAUAGCUAGAGUGCCGUAGGGGUAGAGGGAAUUCCCGGUGUAGCGGUGAAAUGCGUAGAGAUCGGGAAGAACAUCGGUGGCGAAAGCGCUCUACUGGACGGCAACUGACACUCAGGGACGAAAGCUAGGGGAGCGAAUGGGAUUAGAUACCCC
rnacentral:rRNA from 1 species